rnacentral:tRNA from 1 species
UCCUCCUUAGCUCAACUGGCAGAGCAAUUGUCUUGUAAACAAUAGGUUGUGGGUUCAACUCCCUCAGGAGGAU